rnacentral:rRNA from 1 species
GCGGAGGAUCUGGAAACUAAAAAGCGUAACAAGUUUCGUAGGUGAACGCGCGCGGAGGAUCUGGAAACUAAAAAGCGUAACAAGUUUCGUAGGUGAACGCGCGGAAGGAUCAUUA